GACGAACGCUGGCGGCGUGCCUAAUACAUGCAAGUUGAGCGCUGAAGGUUGGUACUUGUACCGACUGGAUGAGCAGCGAACGGGUGAGUAACGCGUGGGGAAUCUGCCUUUGAGCGGGGGACAACAUUUGGAAACGAAUGCUAAUACCGCAUAAAAACUUUAAACACAAGUUUUAAGUUUGAAAGAUGCAAUUGCAUCACUCAAAGAUGAUCCCGCGUUGUAUUAGCUAGUUGGUGAGGUAAAGGCUCACCAAGGCGAUGAUACAUAGCCGACCUGAGAGGGUGAUCGGCCACAUUGGGACUGAGACACGGCCCAAACUCCUACGGGAGGGAGCAGGAGGGAAUCUUCGGCAAUGGACGAAAGUCUGACCGAGCAACGCCGCGUGAGGGAAGAAGGCUUUCGGAUCGGAAAACUCUGUUGGUAGAGAAGAACGUUGGUGAGAGUGGAAAGCUCAUCAAGUGACGGUAACUACCCAGAAAGGGACGGCUAACUACGUG
rnacentral:rRNA from 1 species